UACGGAGGGUGCAAGCGUUAUCCGGAUUCACUGGGUUUAAAGGGUGCGUAGGCGGACAUGUAAGUCCGUGGUGAAAUCUCUAAGCUUAACUUGGAAACUGCCAUGGAUACUAUAUGUCUUGAAUGUUGUGGAGGUUAGCGGAAUAUGUCAUGUAGCGGUGAAAUGCACAGAUAUGACAUAGAACACCAAUUGCGAAGGCAGCUGGCUACACAAAUAUUGACGCUGAGGCACGAAAGCGUGGGGAUCAAACAGG
rnacentral:rRNA from 1 species